GAUGUUCAACAUAUAUAGCUAGUGCACAACAGAUAAAUUGAAGUCAGUGAAUCACACAGAGCCAAAAGAGUUCAUUUGCCAAUGGCUCUUGUAUAUGCUAUACUGUGGUUCGUAUACUCGAUAACUUCGCUAUGGCCAUCAACUCAAGCUCAAGUCACAGGGCCCUGUCGCUACCUAUACACGGAGCAGCCUCCACUCGACUUGCAAUGUAAUCCCUAUCCCGCUAAUGUGUUAAUAUUGAGCUGCGCUGUGACCUACAGCAGGAGCGAGCUGCCUGUCACUCUAAACUGGAUCCACUAUCCGAACUCAAACACUCAAACUCCGUUGAGAAUCUCACAGACCACAAGCAAGUAUAGGGUCACCCCUGGUAGUGUCUUGACGGGUCAAACGAGAAGUACCCUACAAAUAAACACCCUGACAGAUGUAGACGUGGGAUCUUAUUCCUGUCAAGCAGUAUUUACGAAUGGGUCUAGAACAGAUGAAAGUCAAAGGCUGAAUCUGUUCACAAGAACCGUUUUUACCAGUCAACGCCUUUCAUCAUGCUCCCAAUUCAGUGGAGAAUCAACGACACAACAAAAGUGUGCUCUUACAGGUCAAGUCAGUUCUAAUCCUGAUAACACUGCCCCGACUAGCUCUGGUGGAGACAAUGGCGGAGACAAUGGUGGUACAGGAGGUGCGGGAGGGGGCGUGCUAGGACCUCAAACUUCUCUUAUUUUAGCAGUUAUAGGAGUGGUCGUUUUCCUUGUCAUAACUACAUUUAUUCUGGUUUGUUGCUGCGUUAUUUUUCAAGGUUGCAAGCAUUUUGAUUAAGCUUUUUUAUGCUCUAUAUAAUUAUUGUUUCAGUACAUUGGCUAGCACUGUUUAUUCUUUAUUUUGUGUAUAAUUAUAGAUACAAUUAUUUCGUAUGGAACUGAACCGUUACAAUGUACCAUUACUAUAUCAAUUUAUCUAAAUGUCUGCCUCAA